ACGGAGGGUGCGAGCGUUGUCCGGAAUCACUGGGCGUAAAGGGCGCGUAGGCGGUCCUUUAAGCGUGUGGUGAAAGCUCAGCGCUCAACGCUGAGUCGGCCAUGCGAACUGGGGGACUGGAGCGCUGUAGAGGCAGGUGGAAUUCCGGGUGUAGCGGUGGAAUGCGUAGAGAUCCGGAAGAACACCGGUGGCGAAGGCGGCCUGCUGGGCAGUAGCUGACGCUGAGGCGCGACAGCGUGGGGAGCAAACAGGA
rnacentral:rRNA from 1 species